AUAUAUAUAUAUAUAUAUAUAUAUAUAUAUAUAUAGAUGAUUAUGUGGAGAGGAGAAAUGGUUGAGAGAGACCAGAAACUAGAAACUAGUCCUCCAACCUACUCAACCUGUAUCUCGCUAUUUAUGGGAGCUUAUCACAGUUGUGGUUUCUUGUGUUAUUAUCUCGGAGCAAUGCUUUGGAAUCCAGGUUUACGAACUAAACAAUCUAAGAGGGUAGACGGGAUGAGAUCGGAUUAAGUGUGAGGAUAGAAUUGUGUAUUUCUUUAUUUUAGCCUUGUAAAGAAUUAUUGAGUUAUUUUAAAUAAGAAGAAUUUUAUUUUCCA